UUCCAGCUCCAACUCAGAGGGACAGAACAGUGUAUGGAGACUCAUAUCGUGAAUUUUUGCUCCAAGAACCACCACAGGAACAUAUCAG